rnacentral:rRNA from 1 species
UACAGAGGGUGCAAGCGUUAAUCGGAAUUACUGGGCGUAAAGCGUGCGUAGGUGGGUUGAUGUGUUGGCUGUUAAAGCCCCGAGCUUAACUUGGGAAGGUCAGCCAAAACUGUCAGCCUAGAGUAUGGUAGAGGAGAGUGGAAUUUCCGGUGUAGCGGUGAAAUGCGUAGAUAUCGGAAGGAACAUCAGUGGCGAAGGCGACUCUCUGGACUAAUACUGACACUGAGGCACGAAAGCGUGGGGAGCAAACAGG